rnacentral:lncRNA from 1 species
CUUUGUUUACAAUACUUAUUAGCACUUAAUUUUUCUCUCUAAUUUCUCUUUGAAUACCAUGUAUGGUGGAUCUUACAUGUCAUGAGUUUUCAGCGUUUCACUGCAGUGAUUAUGAGGAUUAGAGAACCAAAAACAACAGCCCUAAUAUUUUCUUCUGGAAAGACGGUGAGUGCUUCAUCUUCUCAUAUCUUAGGCAAGUUUUUAAUUUGUGCCAUUUUCCACUCUGUGAUGUUCAUGAUUUCCUCAAAAAAUGUUCAUUGCUUUAGGUUUGUACUGGAGCCAAGGGUGACCGACAGUCAAAAUUGGCUGCACCAAAGGUAUGACAUAUAAGAGAAGGCACACUUUAGCAUUUGCACAUAGAUUCAAAAUGAUGCAUUAUGGGCCCCUUGGGGCACAGUUCAACUGGUGGAUCAAUCAACAUUAUCUUGCUUCCAGCGGCAGGAUGGAAAGUUCGAUUCCUGGUGGGAACCUGUAGCCAAAAAAUUGGUAUGGAACAAUCACUGUGGAGGAGGGUUUCUUGUGCGCAGAAGUGUACAGACAAUGGGGGGAACCUGUGAUCCAGUUGAGGCAUAACCCGCGAUUUACCCCCGUCAAGGUUUUAGGGGUAAGGGUCUUGAGAGUCCAGAAUUUAGUAUGGUGUAAGCUGGAAUAUCUGGAUAUAAAAAAGAAAAAAUGAUGCAUUAUGGGUGUUCAUUGAUGAUUUCAUUAGGUGUAAAUUGGACUGUAGUGUACUAUAUCAAGAAAGUGUCCAUUAUAUAUUAUAUAUGUCAUAAAAUAAAAAAAUAAAAAAAUAAAAAGGAAGGAAAGAAGCUACUUUAUCUUCCCUAUCUAAUUUACACGUUGGCAUCCAUUAUAAAUUCAAAAAUAAAAUCAUAAACAACUACUAAAAAGUGACAAGUCUACAAACUUCAAUAUCUUGAGUUCGACUUAUUCAAAUCAAUUUUUUCUCGAGCCUAAUAUACAUAAUUAAUUACGAGCUAUCCAAUAAGUGCAAUAUUGAUAUAUUUAUCGUUACUAUAUCAAUACUUAAAUAUUUGACCCAAAUCCUCAUUUUUUUUUUCAAAAUAUAAAAAUGUAAUAUAUAAAACAAAUACAUUUUUAUUCCAAAAUUUUCAGGGCGUUAUAAUCUCCCCUCUUUAAAAUAUUUUCGUCAUUGAAAAUUAUCUUGAAUAAUUGAAAAGUUCUCGACAAGGGAAAAAACGUACAUAUCAUUAAAUCUAUGUUUAGGCAAUAGUUACACAAAAUAUUUGAAUGUUCAUUUAUUUUCUUACCCACAUUAUGUACCUUAGAGCGUCGGUGGGUGGUUGACAAGUGGUUGUCGAGUGCCAAGGAUUCUUCAAUUCUCACAUGUUUGAGAACUUAAAUAAAAUAUAUAUAUUACACCAUAUAUUUAAAUUUAUAUCAAAAAAAAUUUUAAUAGCACGUAAAGAUUAGCUACACGCACAUUUAAUACAUUGACAAUUUAAAUUAAUCUAAUUCUCAUAUAAACUAAUUAUAUGACAAUCGUUUGAAACAAUCAUUUGAAAAAAACAGUCAAAAAACAAAAUUUCUCACGUGAACAUGCAUUGUUCACGUGAACAGUAACGUGAACGCAAACUUUUAAAAAAAAAAAAAAGUAAAAUACUAGCAAUAAUAUUUUAAUCUCUAAAGAACUCAACAUAACAACUUGAAGGUUUUGAAGAUAAUUGACAUAUACUAUGCUAAUAAUUAGGGUCCGUAUGAUUACAAAAGUGGAAUUUGGAUGGAAAGAAGACGAAUUCAAGAAAUUGAAUUGAUGGGAAAUUAUUUUUCUGAAAAUUGUAAAUUAUUGUGUUUGAUUGAUAUAAAUUUUCACAUGAAAAAUGUUUAAAUUAAAGUAUUUUUUUUAUGUCCGUUUAGCUUUGUUUUACAUGAAAAUUGUCAAUUAAAGGAAUAGAAUUUACUAGUAUUUGAAAUGAAAUUUGUUUCC